CUAAGAUGGUGGAAGCUUGAACCAUUCGCCUAUAUAAUGAAAAAGCAAAUGCUUUUCCAGAAAUUAGUGGCUGUUAAGCAGAGGGGAGGUAUCUCCUCAGCUGACAUUGUUGUAGCUGUUGCAGACCUGGUUGUCUAUAGAACCUGGAACAGGCAAUUAUGUAAUCUGAAUGUGUUUCCUUUUACACCUCUUCCUGCCCCUCUGCUCUGCAGUGCUGAAGCCUCACCUGCAGUACUGUGUCCAGAUGUGGAGUCCUCAGUACAGGAGAGACAUAGACCUGUUGGAGCAUGUCCAGAGGAGGGCCACAAAAAUGAUCCAAGGGAUGGAACACCUCUCCUAUGAGGACAGACUGAAAGAGCUGGAGCUGUUCAGCCUGGAGAACAGAAGGCUCUGAAGGGAGCUGGACUAGAUGGCCCUCAGAGGUCACUUCCAACUCUAAGGAUUCUAGGAUUCUGUGAUUCUCGUGAUGCUGCUUUAAUAGUUCAAAGGGUAUGUAUGAAACACUAGAAUUUCCAUCAAACAUAUGAAUAGUUU
ensembl:lncRNA